UACGUAGGCAGCAAGCGUUGUUCGGAGUUACUGGGCGUAAAGGGUGUGUAGGCGGUUUUUUUAGUUUGGUGUGAAAUCUCCCGGCUCAACUGGGAGGGUGCGCCGAAUACUGAAAGACUAGAGUGCGGGAGAGGAAAGUGGAAUUCCUGGUGUAGCGGUGAAAUGCGUAGAUAUCAGGAGGAACACCGGUGGUGUAGACGGCUUUCUGGACCGUAACUGACGCUGAGACACGAAAGCGUGGGUAGCAAACAGG
rnacentral:rRNA from 1 species